rnacentral:rRNA from 1 species
UACGUAGGGUGCAAGCGUUGUCCGGAAUUAUUGGGCGUAAAGAGCUCGUAGGCGGUUUGUUGCGUCGGCUGUGAAAUCCCGAGGCUCAACCUCGGGUCUGCAGUCGAUACGAGCAAACUAGAGUGUUGCAGGGGAGACUGGAAUUCCUGGUGUAGCGGUGAAAUGCGCAGAUAUCAGGAGGAACACCGGUGGCGAAGGCGGGUCUCUGGGCAACGACUGACGCUGAGGAGCGAAAGCGUGGGGAGCGAACAGG